rnacentral:rRNA from 1 species
AUUGAACGCUGGCGGCAGGCUUACCACAUGCAAGUCAAGCGGGGAUUGCGUGCUUGCACCUAAUCUUAGCGGCGGACGGGUGAGUAAUGCUUAGGAAUCUGCCCCUUAGUGCGGGACAACAUUCCGAAAGGGAUGCCAAUACCCCAUACGCACUACGGGGGAAAGCAGGCGAUCAUUAGACCUUGCGCUAAAUGAUGACCCUCAGUCUGAUUACCUAGUUGGUGGGGUAAAGGCCUACCAAGGCGACAAUCUGUACCGGGUCUGAGAGGAUGAUCCCCCACUCUGGCACUGACACACCCCCCACACUCCUAGGGGAGGCCGCAGUGGGAAAUAUUGCAAAAUGCGCGGAACCCUGAUCCAGCCAUGCCGCGUGUGAGAAGAACGUCCUUUGGUUGUACAGCAUUCUAAGCGAGGAGGACGCUACCUGGAUUCCUACUCUAGGGGAGUGGACGUUCCUCGCACAAUCAGCAUCGGCUAACUCUGUGCCACCAGCCCCGCUAAUACACACGGUGCUAGCGUUCAUCGAAUUUACUGGGCGUAAGCGUGCGUAGGCGGCUGAUUAGUCGGAUGUGAAAUCCCUGAGCUUAACUUAGGAAUUGCAUUCGAUACUGGUCAGCUAGAGUAUGGGAGAGGAUGGUAGAAUUCCAGGUGUAGCGGUGAAAUGCGUAGAGAUCUGGAGGAAUACCGAUGGCGAAGGCAGCCAUCUGGCCUAAUACUGACGCUGAGGUACGAAAGCAUGGGGAGCAAACAGGAUUAGAUACCCUGGUAGUCCAUGCCGUAAACGAUGUCUACUAGCCGUUGGGGCCUUUGAGGCUUUAGUGGCGCAGCUAACGCGAUAAGUAGACCGCCUGGGGAGUACGGUCGCAAGACUAAAACUCAAAUGAAUUGACGGGGGCCCGCACAAGCGGUGGAGUAUGUGGUUUAAUUCGAUGCAACGCGAAGAACCUUACCUGGCCUUGACAUAGUAGAAACUUUCCAGAGAUGGAUUGGUGCCUUCGGGAAUCUACAUACAGGUGCUGCAUGGCUGUCGUCAGCUCGUGUCGUGAGAUGUUGGGUUAAGUCCCGCAACGAGCGCAACCCUUUUCCUUACUUGCCAGCAUUUCGGAUGGGAACUUUAAGGAUACUGCCAGUGACAAACUGGAGGAAGGCGGGGACGACGUCAAGUCAUCAUGGCCCUUACGGCCAGGGCUACACACGUGCUACAAUGGUCGGUACAAAGGGUUGCUACCUAGCGAUAGGAUGCUAAUCUCAAAAAGCCGAUCGUAGUCCGGAUUGGAGUCUGCAACUCGACUCCAUGAAGUGGGAAUCGCUAGUAAUCGCGGAUCAGAAUGCCGCGGUGAAUACGUUCCCGGGCCU